CCUACGGGUGGCAGCAGUGGGGAAUAUUGGACAAUGGGGGCAACCCUGAUCCAGCCAUGCCGCGUGUGUGAAGAAGGCCCUCGGGUUGUAAAGCACUUUCAGUGAGGAAGAACGCCUGGUGGUUAAUACCCAUCAGGAAAGACAUCACUCACAGAAGAAGCACCGGCUAACUCCGUGCCAGCAGCCGCGGUAAUACGGAGGGUGCGAGCGUUAAUCGGAAUUACUGGGCGUAAAGCGCGCGUAGGUGGCUUGAUAAGCCGGUUGUGAAAGCCCCGGGCUCAACCUGGGAACGGCAUCCGGAACUGUCAAGCUAGAGUGCAGGAGAGGAUGGUAGAAUUCCCGGUGUAGCGGUGAAAUGCGUAGAGAUCGGGAGGAAUACCAGUGGCGAAGGCGGCCUUCUGGACUGACACUGACACUGAGGUGCGAAAGCGUGGGUAGCAAACAGGAUUAGAUACCCGAGUAGUC
rnacentral:rRNA from 1 species